CCGAGGCUCCGAAGUGACAGGUGGAAUAGCAGCCCGGGCUUCGGACCUCAGGCCUCAGUUUAUUCUGUGGGAGGGGACGCUCUCUCUCUGCGUCCUUGUGAAAAUGAUCUUGUCUUUAAACCCUGCGUGGCAAUCCUUGAUGCACCGCCGUGAUGCCCAGGGAAGACAGGGCAACCUGGAAGUCCAACUACUUCUUUAAGAUCAUCCAGCUUUUGGAUGAUUAUCCGAAAUGUUUCAUUGUGGGAACAGCAAUGUGGGCUCCAAGCAGAUGCAGCAGAUCCGCAUGUCCCUCCGAGAGAAGGCUGUGGUGCUGAUGGACAAGAACGGCCUGAUGCGCACGGCCAUCUGAGGGCACCUGGAAGACAACCCAGCUCUGGAGUAACUGUUGCCUCAUAUCUGGGGGAAUGUGGGCUUUGCGUUUACCAAGGAGGACCUCACUGAAAUCAGGGAUAUGUUGCUGGCUAGUAAGGUGCCAGCUGCCACCUGUGCUCGUCCCGUUGCCCCAUGUGAAGUCACUGUGCCAGCCCAGAACACUGGUCUGGGGCCUGAGAAGACCUCCUUUUUCCAGGCUUUAGGAAUCACCACUAAAAUCUCCAAGGGGCACCACUGAAAUCCUGAGUGAUGUGCAGCUGAUCAAGACUGGAGACAAAGUGGGAACCACGCUGCUGAACACGCUGAACCUCUCUCCCUUCUCCUUUGGGCUGGUCAACCAGCAGGUGUCUGACAGUGGCAGCAUCUACAACCCUGAAGUGCUUGACAUCACAGAGGAAACUGCAUUCUUGCUUCCUGGAGGGUGUCCGCGACGUUGCCAGUGUCUGUCUGCAGAUUGGCUACCCACCUGUUGCAUCAGUGCCCCAUUCUAUCAUCAGUGGGUACAAACGAGUCCUGGCUCUGUCUGUGGAGACUGAUUACACCUUCCUACUUGCUGGAAAGGUCAAGGCCUUCUUGGCUGAUCCAUCUGCUUUUGUGGCUGUUGCCUCUGUGGCUGCCACCACCACAGCUGCUCCUGCUACUGUAGCCCCACUGAGGUUGAAGCCAAGGAAGAGUUGGAGGAGCUGGAUGAGGAUGUGGGAUUUGGUCUCUUUGACUAAUCAUCAAAAAGCAACCAACUCAGCCAACUUUAUUUGCAAAACAAGGAAAUAAAGGCUUAAAUUCUUAAAAAAAAUAAAAAAAUAAAAAAGAAAGGUUGGACCAGGACAGGAGUAAGAACAGAGGCAAUUGGCCAAUACUGAUGACAUUCCCUAUAUGCAAUGCACCAUGCCCACCCAGAGAAGGACAUCACACUUACUAAAACUGGCCCAUUUCACAGACAGAUUGAGAGAGGCAGAGGAGUGAUUGUGCCCAAGAAUCUUACACUGGGGUGAGAGCUAAGCCUCUCUUGCCACCUACAGCUCUCAUCUCUAGGUUUGUCAUCUCUCAGAGGAAAGGCAGGAGAGAGAACUGACAAGAUUGGACCUUCUGAGUGGAAAGAGAUUUUUAGAGCUGGAAGGAAUCUUAGAAAUGACCAAAAGUUUGACAGAUUCAAGAGCUCAGGUAACUUGCUAAGAUCACAGAACAAAUCUUUGCUCCAGUGGGGACUAAGCUCUGGGUUUCUUGAAGAUGGACACAGGUAAAUUUGAUCCAAAAUGGCACUUCAAAGAGAAACAUACACGGACUGAUGGUGUUCCACCUUUAUUUAUUUAUUUUUUUUUUGAGAUGGAGUCUCAUUCCGUCUCCCAGGCUGGAGGCAAUAGCGUGAACUCAGCUUACUGCAACCUCCACCUCCUGGUUCAAGCAAUUCUCAUGCCUUAGCCACCUGAGUAGUUGGGAUUACAGGCAUGCGCCACCGUGCCUUGCUGAUAUUUGUGUUUUUGGUAGAGACAGGGUUUCACCAUGAUGGUCAGGCUGAUCUCAAACUCCUGACCUCAUGAUCUGCCCGCCUUGGCCUCCCAAAGUGUUGGGAUUACAGGCGUGAGCCACCAUGCCCAGUUUGUUUUCCACUUCUAAGUCCCAGAUGGUUCCUCCUGGGGUUCUAGAGGGGCUUGGAAUGGGAGGACAAGCAACAUCUUCCUCCCGAGCAUCUACAGGAGCCUUGAUUGCCUCUCUCCUCCCCGAGGGAUCAGUGUUGGCCACACAACCUUGCCAUGCCUCCACUUCUGCUCAGCUCUCAGUACGCAGAGGGUGGCUGGAGCUGGGGCCACAGAUGGACGUACAGCUGGGCAGCUCAGCACUCUCAUCUGUGCCUUAUCAGCUGGGGGGCUGUGGUGGCAUGAAGCUGGUGGGAGGCUGGCACUUGCCCAGGAUUCUCGGAGCCCUUGUGCUCAUCACUUCAUGAGUUCAGGCUGCGUGGGGACAGCUUGCUUCAAGUCCACAGUCAGGCGCAACCCUAACUCAGUCUGCCCUGCAAAGGCGGGCCCAGCCCCUGAUCCACAUGAACUGCCGGAAGAAAAAUCCAAAGGGAAAGUCAGUGAAGACAUUUGUGGAAAGAACUGUGGAAGAAGGAAUAAGAACCUACCAUUUUUCCUGCCAGUGUCUGCUAAUAAGUAAUAAUAAAAUAACAAUGAUAACUCAUAAUG
rnacentral:lncRNA from 1 species